AGAGAGAGACAUGCGCGCAUAUCAAUAAGCGGAGGAAAAGAAACUAACUAGGAUUCCCUCAGUAACGGCGAGUGAAGCGGGAAGAGCUCAAAAUUUGAAAUCUUCAAGGUUCUACCUUGACGAAUUGUAGUUUAAAGAAGUGUUUUCUGUUGGAGUUUUGGUAAAAGUUCUUUGGAAUAGGACAUCAUAGAGGGUGAGAAUCCCGUAUUUGACCAUUAUUUCCAGCUUUGUGAUACACUUUCAAAGAGUCGGAUUGUUUGGGAAUGCAGUCCAAAAUGGGUGGUAAUUUCAUCUAAAGCUAAAUAUUGGCGAGAGACCGAUAGCGAACAAGUACCGUGAGGGAAAGAUGAAAAGAACUUUGAAAAGAGAGUUAAACAGUACGUGAAAUUGUCAAAAGGGAAGCGUUUGACACCAGUGUUGUUUUCUCGAAAAUCAAUUAAAAAAGGCAGGAUUUUGUGUUGUAUUGACUUUAUCAGCUUUCUGCACUCUUUUCUUGUCUUUUUUAAUGCACUUUUCGUUUAACAAGUCAACAUCAAUUUCUUUUGUUGUAAAAGGGUCAUUGGAAGGUGGCUUUCUUUUCGGAGAAAGUGUUUAUAGCCUUUGGCCUCUGCAAUCGGAGAGAUUGAGGUCUGCAGCGUAGAUCCUUCGGGGUUAGAUACAUUUGUGCUAAGUUAUAGCCUUUCAUAGACAACUUGUUGACUAUGAUCAGUCAUGUAGCUUUACUCGCUUAUGCUAUUUUACCUACGCUUAGGAUGUUGAUGUGAUACUGCGAGCA
rnacentral:rRNA from 1 species